rnacentral:rRNA from 1 species
CAGCAGUCGCCACGGUAAUACGUAGGUGGCAAGCGUUGUCCGGAAUUAUUGGGCGUAAAGGGCUCGCAGGCGGUUUCUUAAGUCUGAUGUGAAAGCCCCCGGCUCAACCGGGGAGGGUCAUUGGAAACUGGGAAACUUGAGUGCAGAAGAGGAGAGUGGAAUUCCACGUGUAGCGGUGAAAUACGUAGAGAUGUGGAGGAACACCAGUGGCGAAGGCGACUCUCUGGUCUGUAACUGACGCUGAGGAGCGAAAGCGUGGGGAGCGGACAGGAUUAGAUACCCCCGUAGUCCCUGUCUCUUAUAC